GACGGGGCCGCACAAGCGGCGGAGCAUGCGGAUUAAUUCGAUGCAACGCGAAGAACCUUACCAAGGCUUGACAUACACCGGUAACGCCCAGAGAUGGGUGCCCCUUUGUGGUCGGUGGACAGGUGGUGCAUGGUUGUCGUCAGCUCGUGUCGUGAGAUGUUGGGUUAAGUCCCGCAACGAGCGCAACCCUCGUCCUAUGUUGCCAGCGGGUCAUGCCGGGGACUCAUGGGAGACUGCCGGGGUCAACUCGGAGGAAGUGGGGAUGACGUCAAAUCAUCAUGCCCCUUAUGUCUUGGGCUUCACGCAUGCUACAAUGGCCGGUACAAAGGGCUGCGAUACCGCGAGGUGGAGCGAAUCCCAGAAAGCCGGUCUCAGUUCGGAUUGGGGUCUGCAACUCGACCCCAUGAAGUCGGAGUCGCUAGUAAUCGCAGAUCAGCAACGCUGCGGUGAAUACGUUCCCGGGCCUU
rnacentral:rRNA from 1 species